rnacentral:misc_RNA from 1 species
UCCGGCUUAUCACCGGCAGUUUCUUUAGAGUGCCCAACUGAAUGAUGGCAACUAAAGACGAGGGUUGCGCUCGUUGCGGGACUUAACCCAACAUCUCACGACACGAGCUGACGACAGCCAUGCAGCACCUGUGUGUAGGUCCCGUAAGGGAAGGAAUCCAUCUCUGGAAACCGUCCUACCAUGUCAAACGCUGGUAAGGUGGGGAUGACGUUCGUCUGAC